rnacentral:rRNA from 1 species
GACGAACGCUGGCGGCGUGCUUAACACAUGCAAGUCGAACGAAGUGGCGAACGGGUGAGUAACGCGUAAUCAACCUGCCCUUCAGAGGGGGACACCAGUUGGAAACGACUGCUAAUACCGCAUACUGAAGGAGGGGAGUGCGUCUGAUUAGCGAGUGGGCGGGGUAAAGGCCCACCAAGGCGAUGAUCAGUAGCCGGUCUGAGAGGAUGAACGGCCACAUUGGGACUGAGACACGGCCCAGACUCCUACGGGAGGCAGCAGUGGGGAAGCUUCCGCAAUGGACGAAAGUCUGACGGAGCAACGCCGCGUGAGUGAUGACGGCCUUCGGGUUGUAAAGCUCUGUUAAUCGGGACGCGGUACCGGAAUAGAAAGCCACGGCUAACUACGUGCCAGCAGCCGCGGUAAAC